CUAGUUGGUGAGGUAACGGCUCACCAAGGCAACGACGGGUAGCUGGUCCGAGAGGAUGACCAGCCACAUUGGGACUGAGACACGGCCCAGACUCCUACGGGAGGCAGCAGUGGGGAAUCUUGCGCAAUGGGCGAAAGCCUGACGCAGCGACGCCGCGUGUGGGAUGAAGGUCUUCGGAUUGUAAACCACUGUCGCGAGGGACGAAAAUCUGACGGUACCUCGAAAGGAAGCACCGGCUAACUCUGUGCCAGCAGCCGCGGUAAUACAGAGGGUGCGAGCGUUGUCCGGAAUCACUGGGCGUAAAGGGCGCGUAGGCGGCCGGGUAAGUAGGGGGUGAAAUCUCAUGGCUCAACUGUGAGGCUGCCUUCUAGACUGCCUGGCUCGAGCAUGGUAGAGGCGAGUGGAAUUCCCGGUGUAGCGAUGGAAUGCGUAAAGAUCGGGAAGAACAUCGGUGGCGAAGGCGGCUC
rnacentral:rRNA from 1 species